GACAAAUGGGUUCCAAAAAAUGAAAAUUUCUCUGGCCCCUGUGGGACAGAAAAAAGUGGAGAUUCAGCUGACAGAUAAGCAUCACAUAUGUCAUCUUCACGUCUCCAGUUCCCAGGAGUUCUGGAGGAAGAAUUUCAUCCACUGGAAAGCAGCAUCUUUCUCUGCAGGGGCUUAUUCAUACCAAGAGCAACUGUAUUUCUUUCAAACAAUAACAAAAAUGUGUUUCUUGCCUGUGGAUUAAGAAAAAAUCUCAAGAUGAAGACCGGUUUCCCUGCUCCCUUCCUGUUCAAAUUGUCAAAUUGGCCUGGAAAAUAGUUUCUUUUCUUUCCUUUUUCUGAGCCAUUCUGAUUCUCUGUGGUGUGAUGGGCUUUCUUUAAAAAAUUGAAGCUGUGAAAUGCUGGUUCUCUCGAUUCCAGCUGUUCAGGCCUAAAGAUAAAACAAAUGUCAUGAAUAUCACAAUAAAUCCUGAAAGCUAGAAACACAGUGGGAGGGGAAAAGUGAUCAGAAACUAUGCAGCAAUGCACAGAUGGAAAAAAUACCCUGAGGGCUCACACAGAUUUUGGUGACUUUUCCUUUGGAGCUUGUCCUGUGACAGCUACUGGCACUGGGUGGAGGGAGCAGUAAAUUCACCUUACAGCCACAGGGGCCUGGAUAUUACCUGCCUUGCCUUGCUUUUAGUUCUCCAGAGGUAAAGAUGGUGAGAAAAACACCAAUUAGUGUAUGAAUAUAUACCAGAUAUUAGUGGGCAUUAAAAUUGUUAAAUUAUGCUAAUUUUUCCAAGAAUGGACGUAAUAGGUCCUAAAAUUCCUUGUGAAUCUUGUAGCCUCCUCCUUGUUCUGGGUUUAAUUUGCCACAGCAAGUGAUCUUCCACUUGCCAUGGAUUUUUAAUGACUUCAAGCACUGGGGCUCUGCUACCCCUGUACUUGUUCAUAACAGGUUUGUUGCAUAAACACUUUUAUUUUUAAAAAGGACAAACACCCACAUAAACAUUUUAGAGACAAUAGAAUCUGAGGUUGUAAAUACAUUCUUGUGACCUCAUUAGGAUGAUGAGAAUUUUGGUUUGAGAAGAGGAAAAGUUUAUGAUUAGGCAACUGGAGUUACAAUAAUAACAAAAGAAAACAGAAAAUCAUUGUCAGCUUGAUUAUUUUGGGAGUCUUUGUCCUGCCCAAUGGUGCCUCUUUAUGACAACCUUUAUUUCAGAACAGGAUACAUAGUUCAACAUAACUAAAGCAUAGAAGUGUCAUAACUAAGGAAAGUUUGUGUUAAAUUUUUACUUAAUGUAUUAUUCAAAGCAACAGGACUACAAAAAUUUUAUUUAGCAGUGCAGCAACUGAACUAAGUGCAAGCACUUCCAGCUAUUAUCAAAAUGGCUGCUUCAUGAAGGAUCACAAAUGCCAGGAUUAUUUGUGUAACUUAGUUCCUAUCAACCUAAAAGAUACAUUGAAAAUGUGAUGAGGUUUUGGUAACUCAAGGUUGUUCCCAUUGCUAAUGAACCCUGCAAGCAGCACCGAAGAUCACUGCAGAAGUCAUUCAGUGCCUCCAACUUUGUAGUGUGCAAAUGUUUGACUGUUUUUUUCCUGGCCUUUUGUUGUUAUCAGCACUGUGUUUCUUUCCCUUAUGCUACCUGUGAUGACGAUAGAAUGUGUAAAUAAAUCUGAGAGGAGAUGGAGCUGGGGCCAGCUUGGAUGUGUCAGUGUUCAUUUAGUUACCCAACCAGCUGGUCUUUCAUCCCAGCUCCUUAUUCUGCCCUCCUCUCUCCCCAGAGCAAGAAGAGAUUCAUGCUUCCUGACUGACUGCAUGAAGAGGGUAGAUGAUGUCAUUCUAGUGGCCAGAUGGCCUGACCACAAAAUCCACUCUGUCAGCCUUGACAGGCUCCGAAGGGAAGCUCCCGGCCGCAGAGCUGGCCCUGCGCAGCCAGCGAGGAACACAGAGCUGCAGACACUUCCAGAAACCUCCUCAAUCUCUCUAGACUGCCCUGGCUUUGCAGAGGGGGCUGUUCUGACACCUCCAGAACGUGGGUGCUCCUUGACUGUUUGCAUGGCUGGUGAUGUGUGAUGGAAGCCCAAGCUGAAAAUGAAAUUCAUUCCUAAAAGAAUAGGUGACGAGGCAGGAUUUGCUCCAUAUGGAAAACAUCAUAGACCAGGACAAAAGCAAGAAAGAUUAGAAGAUACAAAAGUGGAAAAUUCUAUUUAGGUGACUA